rnacentral:rRNA from 1 species
AACGAACGCUGGCGGCAUGCCUAACACAUGCAAGUCGAACGAGACCUUCGGGUAUAGUGGCGCACGGGUGCGUAACGCGUGGGAACCUGCCCUUAGGUUCGGAAUAACUCCCCGAAAGGGGUGCUAAUACCGGAUAAUGUCUUCGGACCAAAGAUUUAUCGCCUUUGGAUGGGCCCGCGUUGGAUUAGCUAGUUGGUAGGGUAAAAGCCUACCAAGGCGACGAUCCAUAGCUGGUCUGAGAGGAUGAUCAGCCACACUGGGACUGAGACACGGCCCAGACUCCUACGGGAGGCAGCAGUGGGGAAUAUUGGACAAUGGGCGAGAGCCUGAUCCAGCAAUGCCGCGUGAGUGAUGAAGGCCUUAGGGUUGUAAAGCUCUUUUACCCGGGAUGAUAAUGACAGUACCGGGAGAAUAAGCUCCGGCUAACUCCGUG